rnacentral:rRNA from 1 species
UACGGAAGGCAGCAGUGGGGAAUAUUGCACAAUGGGCGAAAGCCUGAUGCAGCUAUGCCGCGUGUAUGAAGAAGGCCUUAGGGUUGUAAAGUACUUUCAUCGGGGAGGAAAAAACAAAACUAAUAAUUUUAUUUCUUGACGUUACCCGAAAAAGAAGCACCGGCUAACUCCGUGCCAGCAGCCGCGGUAAUACGGAGGGUGCUAGCGUUAAUCAGAAUUACUGGGCGUAAAGAGCACGUAGGUGGUUUUUUUAAGUUCAGAUGUGAAAUCCCUGGGCUUAAACCUAGGAAACUGCAUUUUGAAACUGAAAUACUAGAGUAUCGUAGAGGGAGGUAGAAUUCUAGGUGUAGCGGUGAAAUGCGUAGAUAUCUGGAGGAAUACCUGUGGCGAAAGCGGCCUCCUAAACGAAAUACUGACACUGAGGUGCGAAAGCGUGGGGAGCAAACAGGGAUUAGAUACC